rnacentral:rRNA from 1 species
GACGAACGCUGGCGGCGUGCUUAACACAUGCAAGUCGAACGGAAAGGCCCCCACCUUGGUGGGGGUGCUCGAGUGGCGAACGGGUGAGUAACACGUGGGUGAUCUGCCCUGUACUUCGGGAUAAGCUUGGGAAACUGGGUCUAAUACCGGAUAGGACCAUGGUUUAGCGUCUCAUGGUGGAAAAAUUAUUGUUUUGGUGCAGGAUGAGCUCGCGGCCUAUCAGCUUGUUGGUGGGGUAAUGGCCUACCAAGGCGUCGACGGGUAGCCGGCCUGAGAGGGUGGACGGCCACAUUGGGACUGAGAUACGGCCCAGACUCCUACGGGAGGCAGCAGUGGGGAAUAUUGCACAAUGGGCGCAAGCCUGAUGCAGCGACGACCGCGUGGGGGAUGACGGCCUUCGGGUGUGUAAACUCCUUUCGUUAGGGACGAAGCCACAUUUUUUUGGGUGUGGUGACGGUACCUUUGUUAAGAAGCACCGGCUAACUACGUGCCAGCAGCCGCGGUAAUACGUAGGGUGCGAGCGUUGUCCGGAAUUACUGGGCGUAAAGAGCUCGUAGGUGGUUUGUUGCGUCGUCUGUGAAAUUCCGGGGCUUAACUUCGGGGUGGCAGGCGAUACGGGCAUAACUAGAGUGCUGUAGGGGAGACUGGAAUUCCUGGUGUAGCGGUGGAAUGCGCAGAUAUCAGGAGGAACACCGAUGGCGAAGGCAGGUCUCUGGGCAGUAACUGACGCUGAGGAGCGAAAGCAUGGGGAGCGAACAGGAUUAGAUACCCUGGUAGUCCAUGCUGUAAACGGUGGCGUUAGGUGUGGGGACCGGUUUGGUUUCUGUGCCGUAGCUAACGCAUUAAGCGCCCCGCCUGGGGAGUACGGCCGCAAGGCUAAAACUCAAAGGAAUUGACGGGGGCCCGCACAAGCGGCGGAGCAUGUGGAUUAAUUCGAUGCAACGCGAUGAACCUACCUGGGUUUGACAUGCACCAGACGGUUGUAGAGAUACGUACCUCCCUUGGUGGGUGGUGUGCAGGUGGUGCAUGGUUGUCGUCAGCUCGUGUCGUGAGAUGUUGGGUUAAGUCCGCCACGAGCGCCACCCUGUCUAUGUGCAGCACUUGGGUGGACCAUAAAACGCGGCUACCGAGAGGUGGUAA